rnacentral:rRNA from 1 species
UAGGGAAUCUUCGGCAAUGGACGAAAGUCUGACCGAGCAACGCCGCGUGGGUGAAGAAGGGUUUCGGAUCGUAAAACUCUGUUGUUUGAGAAGAACAAGGACGUUAGCAAAGGAACGUGUCCUGACGGUAUCUAACCAGAAAGCCACGGCUAACUACGUGCCAGCAGCCGCGGUAAUACGUAGGGGGCAAGCGUUGUCCGGAGUUAUUGGGCGUAAAGCGAGCGCAGGCGGUUUCUUAAGUCUGAUGUGAAAGCCACUGGCUCAACCGGGGGAGGUCAUGGGAAACUGGGAGACUUGAGUGCAGAAGAGGAGAGUGGAAUUCCGUGUGUAGCGGUGAAAUGCGUAGGUAUAUGGAGGAACACCAGUGGCGAAGGCGGCUCUCUGGUCUGUAACUGACGCUGAGGCUCGAAAGCGUGGGGAGCAAACUGG